rnacentral:rRNA from 1 species
GUGCCAGCCGCCGCGGUAAUACGUAGGCAGCAAGCGUUGUUCGGAGUUACUGGGCGUAAAGGGUGUGUAGGCGGUUCCUUAAGUUUGGUGUGAAAUCUCCCGGCUCAACCGGGAGGGUGCGUCGAAUACUGAGGAGCUAGAGUGCGGGAGAGGAAAGUGGAAUUCCUGGUGUAGCGGUGAAAUGCGUAGAUAUCAGGAGGAACACCGGUGGUGUAAACGGCUUUCUGGACCGUAACUGACGCUGAGACACGAAAGCGUGGGUAGCAAACAGGAUUAGAUACCCCAGUAGUCC